CUGACGACAAUAACUGCUUACUGAUAGGAGCUCGGUAUUGGCUGUUCCCUGAGAGGUUGUACAAGUACCUGACCAAUUCAGAUGCAGAUACAGCCAACCAUCAGAAGGAGCCCAGGGACCCCCAAGGAAGAGCUGGAUUCUGUGGCAGAAGAAGCUCAGCAGCUCAGCAGGCAGUCUGCUUCUGCAGAGCUGACAUAGAUGAAUCUUUAGCUCAUGGACUGAAGAGAUAAAUGAGAAAAACAAAGAGUUUCCAUGGAAUAAUCAUCAGAUUUUAUGGUAAUUUCAAAAUGAGAAGUCUACUAGAGAGGCAAACUUGAUCUCUUUCUAAUAAGCUUCACCAGUUCCUG